UGAUAAUUUGGUAUGUUUUGAGUUGAACGCGUCCGAAAUGCACCUUCCACUGUGAAAGCAUGUAAAAAGUAAGCAGGACUGUUGUAUUUAAGGGGUUUGGAGCUGGCGACGUCAAAGGAAAGUUCAAAGGUUCAAAGGCAAGCCCAUGACGUCACCGGAAAUUACUGUUCCAUCGGUCCCGCCCCCAGCGACUGCUGCUCCGGAUUUGUUGUUGACAUCGCCAAAAAUGUUCCAAGCGACAGAAAAGCGGAUUAUUUGAAAGUUUUUCAGUUCAACUAACUAAUUAACUUUACCUGCGGGGCGCGCGACAACGUACUCAGGCAGCAGCUUUAACAUUGCUGUAUGUUGGUGACCACAAUGCAGGAGCAGACUGAACCAGGACUGCAAACCUGCUCCAUCUUCUCGUCUCUGGAGAUUUCCAUUUACA